rnacentral:rRNA from 1 species
GACGAACGCUGGCGGCGUGCCUAAUACAUGCAAGUAGAACGCUGAAGCUUGGUGCUUGCCCCGAGCGGAUGAGUUGCGAACGGGUGAGUAACGCGUAGGUAACCUGCCUGGUAGCGGGGGAUAACUAUUGGAAACGAUAGCUAAUACCGCAUAACAGUAGAUAUCGCAUGAUAGCUACUUGAAAGGUGCAAAUGCACCACUACCAGAUGGACCUGCGUUGUAUUAGCUAGUUGGUGAGGUAACGGCUCACCAAGGCAACGAUACAUAGCCGACCUGAGAGGGUGAUCGGCCACACUGGGACUGAGACACGGCCCAGACUCCUACGGGAGGCAGCAGUAGGGAAUCUUCGGCAAUGGACGGAAGUCUGACCGAGCAACGCCGCGUGAGGGAAGAAGGUUUUCGGAUCGUAAAGCUCUGUUGUAAGAGAAGAACGAGUGUGAGAGUGGAAAGUUCACACUGUGACGGUAUCUUACCAGAAAGGGACGGCUAACUACGUG